AACUACAAAACCAUUGCAGAUCAGUGUGUGAGGGAACUGCCAUCAUGAGGUCUGACAAGUCAGCUUUGGUAUUUCUGCUCCUGCAGCUCUUCUGUGUUGGCUGUGGAUUCUGUGGGAAAGUCCUGGUGUGGCCCUGUGACAUGAGCCAUUGGCUUAAUGUCAAGGUCAUUCUAGAAGAGCUCAUAGUGAGAGGCCAUGAGGUAACAGUAUUGACUCACUCAAAGCCUUCGUUAAUUGACUACAGGAAGCCUUCUGCAUUGAAAUUUGAGGUGGUCCAUAUGCCACAGGACAGAACAGAAGAAAAUGAAAUAUUUGUUGACCUAGCUCUGAAUGUCUUGCCAGGCUUAUCAACCUGGCAAUCAGUUAUAAAAUUAAAUGAUUUUUUUGUUGAAAUAAGAGGAACUUUAAAAAUGAUGUGUGAGAGCUUUAUCUACAAUCAGACGCUUAUGAAGAAGCUACAGGAAACCAACUACGAUGUAAUGCUUAUAGACCCUGUGAUUCCCUGUGGAGACCUGAUGGCUGAGUUGCUUGCAGUCCCUUUUGUGCUCACACUUAGAAUUUCUGUAGGAGGCAAUAUGGAGCGAAGCUGUGGGAAACUUCCAGCUCCACUUUCCUAUGUACCUGUGCCUAUGACAGGACUAACAGACAGAAUGACCUUUCUGGAAAGAGUAAAAAAUUCAAUGCUUUCAGUUUUGUUCCACUUCUGGAUUCAGGAUUACGACUAUCAUUUUUGGGAAGAGUUUUAUAGUAAGGCAUUAGGAAGGCCCACUACAUUAUGUGAGACUGUGGGAAAAGCUGAGAUAUGGCUAAUACGAACAUAUUGGGAUUUUGAAUUUCCUCAACCAUACCAACCUAACUUUGAGUUUGUUGGAGGAUUGCACUGUAAACCUGCCAAAGCUUUGCCUAAGGAAAGUUAUACCAGAAAACCAAGCUCUCUUAAGCCAUGGCAUCUGUAUCUAAAAUAGAAAUACAGAAGGAGAGCUGACAAUUUCCAUCAUUCUCUAGGAAAUGGAAAAUUUUGUCCAGAGUUCAGGGGAAGAUGGUAUUGUGGUGUUUUCUCUGGGGUCACUGUUUCAAAAUGUUACAGAAGAAAAGGCUAAUAUCAUUGCUUCAGCCCUUGCCCAGAUCCCACAGAAGGUGUUAUGGAGGUACAAAGGAAAAAAACCAUCCACAUUAGGAGCCAAUACUCGGCUGUAUGAUUGGAUACCCCAGAAUGAUCUUCUUGGUCAUCCCAAAACCAAAGCUUUUAUCACUCAUGGUGGAAUGAAUGGGAUCUAUGAAGCUAUUUACCAUGGGGUCCCUAUGGUGGGAGUUCCCAUAUUUGGUGAUCAGCUUGAUAACAUAGCUCACAUGAAGGCCAAAGGAGCAGCUGUAGAAAUAAACUUCAAAACUAUGACAAGCGAAGAUUUACUGAGGGCUUUGAGAACAGUCAUUACCGAUUCCUCUUAUAAAGAGAAUGCUAUGAGAUUAUCAAGAAUUCACCAUGAUCAACCUGUAAAGCCCCUAGAUCGAGCAGUCUUCUGGAUCGAGUUUGUCAUGCGCCACAAAGGAGCCAAGCACCUGCGAUCAGCUGCCCAUGACCUCACCUGGUUCCAGCACUACUCUAUAGAUGUGAUUGGGUUCCUGCUGGCCUGUGUGGCAACUGCUAUAUUCUUGUUCACAAAAUGUUUUUUAUUUUCCUGUCAAAAAUUUAAUAAAACUAGAAAGAUAGAAAAGAGGGAAUAGAUCUUUCCAAAUUCAAGAAAGACCUGAUGGGGUAAUCCUGUUAAUUCCAGCCACAUAGAAUUUGGUGAAAACCUUGCUAUUUUCAUAUUAUCUAUUCUGUUAUUUUAUCUUAGCUAUAUAGCCUAGAAUUCCACGAUCAUGAGGUUGUGAGUAUAUCUCAUUCUUUCGUUGUAUUUUCCUAGGUGUCUUUACUCUCUUCUCUCACUUUGUGACACAAGGACAUGAAUACAUCUAAAUUUUCCUAUUUCUGAUAUGACUGUUUUGAUGAUGUCAUUACUUCUAUAACCUUAAGUGAUAGGGUGACAUGCAAUAUGAUUAUUCCUGGUGUGCGCCCAAACACAUGGAUAUAAAGAGGUAAAAAACUUAAAAUUCACAAAAUUCAGUAAACCACACAAAUCAGGUAAGUGUUCUAUGAGAUUAGCUGGCUAUGAGAAACAUAAUGAUGUUUCUUUUUCAAUUUAAAUAAGCCCUUCUACAUAGCCAGCAUCAGUGAUCUCAGAAAAUAAAUUGCUAAUAAUGAUGACAUGGCAUUAUGCUUAGAAAAGUUUGCUGUAUUUCCAUAGACCUCAUCUAGAUGUCAUGGCCUACAUUUCUGCCAUCACUCAACCAAUACUUUUUUCUGUUUUCUUGAUGAUAAAAAGACCUUUCUCAUGAUUGCCAUCAAAUAACAAAAGAAACUAUUUUUUUUCUCACAUAGAGAACAUGUCAGUAAGAUAUUCAAGGUGAACAGAUUAUUUUUGGGAUUAGUAACUAUUUGAAAUAUGUGGUGAUAAUUACUGAGUUUAUAAAAUUUAUUUGAUAGUACACUUAAAGAAGAUUUAUAUGUUUAUUCUUUAAAAAUGAUGAAUACUCAUAAUUCUUAUCUCUAUAAUCAAAAGUAUAAUUUACUGUAGAAAAAUAAAGAGAUGCUUGUUCUGAAAGUAAGAUCAGUGAACUGCUUUUCAGUCUCAAUCUUUGAGAAUUGUAAAUUCAUCAAAUAAUUGCUUACAUAGUAAAAAUUUAAGGUAUUAGAAAACCUGCAUAACAAAUAGUAUUAUAUAUUAAAUAUUUUGAUAUGUAAAGCUCUACACAAAGCUAAAUAUAGUGUAAUAAUGUUUACACUAAUAAGCAAAUAUGUUAAUCUUCUCAUUUUUUUACUGUCAUAUAAUCUUAGUGAUAUGCCUAUUAAUAGUUUUAAAUAAAUAAAUUGGCUCAUCUGGCUUUUUGAAAAUUUUGAAAUUCUUACAGAUGUUGAUUAGGUAUAUCUACAAAUUAAUUUCAAUUUUAAAAUGAUGAUAUAAAAAUAAAUAUAAGUAUUUUUCUUGUGUAUGUAUACAAUAAAUAUAAAUAAAAUUGUUUACUGUUUUGAAA